rnacentral:lncRNA from 1 species
AUGAGGGUUCCAGAGAAGAGGAAGGUCAGAUGGGAGGAGGGAAGCAUAACUAAGGGGUACAGGGAGCCAAUUGGACAAAGUCUAGGCAUAAAGACCAAUCACCAAGCAAACAAAACAACAAAAAAAGAGGGUCUGGAUUCACAGAAGGAUGAUCAAAACUCAGAGGUUCUCUCAGACCAACCUCUCUGGAGGAAUCCCCAAAGAGAAGGCCUUGGAGGAAUGACACACCUAUUGAGACUGUUGGAAAGAUCUGAAGGAAGGAAAAAUUCUAAAGAAAUUCCUUGAGGGCUAAUGAGAGGAAAUCCAAGGAUAAAAUUUUUCCUAUUCCCAGUUUUGUCUUGACAAGACCUGCUCAUGGGAUGGCUGUAUAAGGAACAAAUAAAAUAACAGAAGUGAAAAUAAGGUAAAGUACA